rnacentral:rRNA from 1 species
AAUUAACGCUGGCAGAGUGCAUAACACAUGCAAGUCGAGCGAGACUGGUCGCAAGAUCAGUCUAGCGGCAGACGAGUGAGUAACACGUAAACAAUCUACCCUUGAAUGGCGAAUAACCAAUCGAAAGGCUGGCUAAUACGCCGUACUCUCCCUUGAAGGCAUCCUCGAGGGAGAAGAGAUCCGCAAGGAUCGUUCUUGGAGGAGUUUGCGGCCCAUCAGCUAGUUGGCGGUGUAAUAGACCACCAAGGCUACGACGGGUACCCGGCCUGAAAGGGCGGACGGGCACGAUGGCACUGAGACACGGGCCAUACUCCUACGGGAGGCAGCAGUGGGGAAUUUUGGACAAUGGGCGAAAGCCUGAUCCAGCAACUCUGCGUGAGGGACGAAGGUCUUCGGAUCGUAAACCUCUUUUACAUGGGAAGAAUACCCGCAAGGGUUCGACGGUACCAUGUGAAUAAGCCACGGCUAACUAUGUGCCAGCCGCCGCCGUAAC